CGACAGAGAUGAACCGGGGCUCCCCGAGGCCGGGCCGGGACACGAUGGUGUGGAAAUACCGCAUGGAGUGCGAGCCUGGGGGCGGCGCGCGGCGGUGGUGCUGGUGGUUGGAAUUUCUAUCCAGCAGCCAUGAACAAGGACGCUGUUGAUUACUCAGGAUCUGGACACCCAAUGUGGGUGAGAACAGGAAACUUGUCAUCAGUGUCCAGGCAGAAGGACCUGACACAGGAGCUGGAGAAUUGAAACCUGGGACCAGGGGAAUCUCCAGCUCUGUGCUUCCCCAUACCCGAUCUCCCCUGGGGAGCAAGACUUUGCCAAGAACACUUAAAAUUGUAAUAAAAUGUUUUGAAUACUUUGUUCAU